GUUCAAAUUGAUUGACGGACGUAGCUCCAGUUUACUCCUGAACGCUCCUGGACAGGUACGCGCUGUGCAGCAUGCGAAACACUGCAACAGAAGUCAGUGCAUCAGCAGUUUCUAUAGGUGACGAGAGAAAGAAGCUGCUGCAGUGUGACAUUGUGGAGCAUUAGGAGAAUUGAGAUGUCCUUAAUGAUGGCGGUGGAAAUUGAUUUCCAGGACAAGUGGAGGACGGGCACAAAGGAGAAAUGAAAUAAGAGAGAUGAGAUGCACCGGUGGCUUGGCUGAAGCUGAAAGAAAUCGAGCCAAGAAGUUAGUAAAAGUUUGUGUGGUCUGGGGCCAUUCUUAAAUCAGAUAGACUCUGUUCUGUACGCCCAAGUUAUUAAAGAAGGUAGCUCAUCUUAUCUCAAAAUAAUGUGAAAGUCUCAGCUUUAUCUUUGGAAAAUGUACAGAAAGACCUGCAUUUAACCUGCAAGCUCAGGCACAGUAUCCCCGAGGACUGACUAGACUGGCCUAAUGGUGACUUUGGGAUAAUUAUUGGCAUUACUAUUCCAGCCAAAAUAUUUAAACUGUGUUUUUUUUAGAAUUUGCUACUCCCCGAGGAGAGAACACCACCUGUGUCUGCUCCUCAUUGCCUCAAUCCCCUGUGGGCUGAAGCCUUUUCCAAACACAGGCCAGCAAAAUGCAAACAGACUAAUGAGGGAUUUAUCUACUUCUCUCCUUUUGACUCAUACAACCCAGCUCCGCUCCUGCCCUGUAUUAGCAUAGUUUUUGUCCACACUGAGAUCAUAAUCCAUUUGUAUGUCCUUGAAUGUAGCACAGGAUAACAGUGAAGUCUUUUCUGUCAACAGCCCUGAAAUCACCCCAGUGUUCAGUAAUCCAAUUAAAAUGAUUCUUCCUUCCCUUAGUGCUGCCAUCCGAUCAGCGAUGCAGGGGGGUUGUUAAGCAUGUAUUACUCACUGUGGGUGGUUUGUCACAAGGAGACAGCAACACCCCAUCACAAGAAAUAUUAUACUGUGCCUUCAUUACCCUCUGGACCAAUAACAUUCUCCACAGCUAGUAAGAGGAAUACUUUUGGUUUGGCACAAAUAAUCUUUUUGCUGGGGCCAGACGCCCAAAUUGCUCACAGUGACAUGUUCUUCUUGUAGCUUACAUUUCUGUCACCAUCCCAAGGAAAUUUGCAGUCGCAGUUAAUUUUUCAAGAAAACAUCAAUUACGAGCUUUAAUGGAAAGCCCAUAUGGGCAUCCUGAGAGGGGAUGAGGAAUUCUCUCCACAAUCAUCCUAAAUAUCUUUGUGCUCUUUAUCCACUCCCAUUUUCUCUGUUUCUCUUUCCCUCCCUCCUCAUUUUUCACUUUUCAGAGAUCCAUUCUGUCUAAUUGGAGCUGAUGAGGACGGGGACUUCAUUAACGGCUUGCUAUGAAUUAUUAUGCAGUGUAAUUGGCCCUCCAGUCCCAUAGGAGGUGCCCUGCUCCAGCUGGUCCAACUGGAGGAGGCUCCUCUGGCCCAGGUGUAAGCUUUUGUACAGCUGAGGUCUGACUUUAUCCCAGCAGCUGUUCCAUUUGUCUCCAUGUCAGAAAGUCCAUCAGAUUCUGACUUGAAUGUUUCCAUGUAUUGUUGAAUUAAAUGGGUUUUCAACAGAUACUUUAGAAUUGCCCAUAUUUAUAGUCUAUUUGUAAAAAUAAUCAUUGAAAUCUUUUUGUUCCAUAAUCACGAGUUAAUUAACAUGUGUUAAUGAAUUUUGAGAUGCUAAUUGAGAGCCAGUGUUUACACCACAAUAAGCAAUGCAUUCAGGCAGAUGAAAAGAGCUCCUGACUGAUGUAUGGCUGGCUGCUGCUGCACGGCCCAUCGCUCCUUAAAAUGUACAUUUAAUAAAUCAUGUCGCCCUG
ensembl:lncRNA